CCUUACCACCUUUUGACAUGCCUGGACCGCCACAGAGAUGUGGUUUUCCCUUCGGGGACUGGGACACAGGUGCUGCAUGGCUGUCGUCAGCUCGUGUCGUGAGAUGUUGGGUUAAGUCCCGCAACGAGCGCAACCCUCGUGAUUAGUUGCCAUCAGGUUUGGCUGGGCACUCUAAUCAUACUGCCGGAGUUAAUCCGGAGGAAGGCGGGGAUGACGUCAAGUCCUCAUGGCCCUUACAAGGUGGGCUACACACGUGCUACAAUGGCGACUACAGAGGGCUGCAAUCCCGCGAGGGGGAGCCAAUCCCUAAAAGUCGUCUCAGUUCGGAUUGUUCUCUGCAACUCGAGAGCAUGAAGUUGGAAUCGCUAGUAAUCGCGGAUCAGCAUUCC
rnacentral:rRNA from 1 species